UGAUGGAGGAGGAGGAUGAGGUAGCCAACGCUGUUUUUACACACACAUAUAUAUAUAUAUAUAUAUAUAUAUAUAUAUAUUUAUUUUUUAAUUGGGGUAGCCCCCAAAAUAUUGAGACAUAAAAAGACAACUGUUACGUAGAGUAGCUGUUGACAUUAUAGUUGCGCAGGAACUUUGUUGACUCUAGAGAACCUCGGGCAAAUCGUACAUCCCUGUGGCGGCAACUUUGCAUGUGGAUGUCAUCCAUAUCAACUUUCGAUGGUGACCACGGGUAACAGGGAAUCAGGGUUCCAUUCCAUACAGGGACCCUGAGAAAUGGCUACCACAUGCAAAGAAGGCAGCAGGUGUGCAAAUGACUCACUCCUGACGCGGGAAGGUAGUGACGACAAAUAACAAUACAGGACUCUUUAGAGGCCCUGUAAUUGUAAUGAGUCCACUUGAAAUCCUUUAACUCCGAUCAAUUGGAGGGAAGUCUGGUGCAGAGCCACUGACCCGUGCAUGCUGCAGCUGAAACUAUCACCUGCUGCUG